rnacentral:rRNA from 1 species
UACAGAGGGUGCAAGCGUUAAUCGGAAUUAUUGGGCGUAAAGCGCAUGUAGGUGGUUUAUUAAGUUUGAUGUGAAAGCCCUGGGCUUAACCUGGGAAUGGCGUUGAAUACUGGUAGACUUGAGUCGGACAGAGGGCGGUGGAAUUUCCGGUGUAGCGGUGAAAUGCGCAGAUAUCAGGAGGAACACCGGUGGCGAAGGCGGAUCUCUGGGCCAUUACUGACGCUGAGGAGCGAAAGCGUGGGGAGCGAACAGG